rnacentral:rRNA from 1 species
UUGUGGGGUGACGGCGUGCCUAUCGAAAAAUGAGUCUGCGAGUCAGUGGCGGGUGGCGAGCAUAAGCCGUGUGGCGUAUGCGUAGCGAAAGCGAGUCUUAAAAGGCGUUUGUAGUCGCUUGUCCUGGACCCGAAGCGGGAUGAUCUAGCCCUGGGCAGGUUGAAGCGCGGGUAAGACCGCGUGGAGGACCGAACCCACCUGGGUUGAAAACCGGGGGGAUGACCUGGGGCUAGGGGUGAAAGGCCAAUCAAAUUCCGUGAUAGCUGGUUCUCUCCGAAAUGCAUUUAGGUGCAGCGUCGGUCGAUUGCGUCGCGGGGGUAGAGCUACCGGAUGCUUGCGGGCCCUUGUUGGGUACCAACAGCAGCCGAACUCCGAAUACCGUUGACGUGUAUUCCGGCAGUGAGUCGGCGGGGGAUAAGCUCCGUCGUCGAGAGGGAGACAGCCCAGACCGUCGUCUAAGGUCCCGAAGCGUGUGCUAAGUGGGAAAGGAUGUGGAGUCGCAUAGACAGCCAGGAGGUUGGCUCAGAAGCAGCCAUCCUUGAAAGAGUGCGUAACAGCUCACUGGUCUAGUGGUUCCGCGCCGACAAUGUAGCGGGGCUCAAGCACACCACCGAAGACGCGGCAGCAAUCUUCAUGGUUGCUGGGUAGGAGAGCGUCCUGCGAGGGGCGAAGCGGCGGUGGAAACCGGCCGUGGACUUCGUGGGAGUGAGAAUGCAGACAUGAGUAGCGAGAGACGGGUGAGGAUCCCGUCCGCUGGAUGACCAAGGGUUCCGGGGCCACGUUCGUCGUCCCCGGGUGAGUCGGGUCCUAAGGCGAGGCCGACAGGCGUAGUCGAAUGGAUGAACGGGUGGAUAUUCCCGUACCGACCAUGGACCGGCAAAACCGAGACGGUGAGUACUAACCUCCGCCUCGUGGUGGUUCCUUCCUUCGGGUUGGUUCCGCCGCGUGGUGUUGGGAGCGUAGCCGCAGUAGGUCAGCGCAGGGGUGACACGGAAUGGGAGCCGGCCGCGGAGGUGGUUUUCCGUGGUCAAGCACGCAGCCAGUCAUGUAGGCAAAUCCGCAUGGCGCGCAUGGCGAGGUGUGAUGAUGGGAGCCUUUUGGGCUCGAUAUCCGGUUGUCCAGGCCGUCGAGAAAAGCCUCGGCGUGAGGGCCAUGGCCGCCCGUACCCCAAACCGACACUGGUGGUCAGGUAGAGAAUACCAAGGCGAUCGAGCGAAUCCUGGUCAAGGAACUCGGCAAAUCACUCCCGUGCCUUCGGUAUAAGGGAGACCCGCUGGGGUGAACCGGCUAGCCCGGGGAGCUUUGGUGGGUGGCACAGACCAGGGGGUAGCGACUGUUUACCAAAAACACAGGUGCAUGCGAAGGCGAAAGCCGCUGUAUAUGCACUGACGCCUGCCCGGUGCCGGAAGGUUAAGAGGAUCCGUCAACUCUUCGGAGCGAAGCGGUGAAUUCAAGCCCCGGUAAACGGCGGUGGUAACUAUAACCAUCCUAAGGUAGCGAAAUUCCUUGUCGGGUAAGUUCCGACCUGCACGAAUGGCGUAA